CAUAGAUAAAGGUGUAUCAGUGCUGGCUCAUGAUUGCAACAAAGAGAGCCAGGAACGAUGCUAAAGCUUCCUGAUUCGUGACCCUGGCUAAGCAAAUGUAACGGCCCCAUUGACUCGCAGCCAUUGGAGAACUGAGCUUAAGAAUCUUUUGGCGGUCUGGAAACUUGGAAAAAGAAAGGGGCAACGUAUCCCACUUGAGCCAAGGCCAUACUUUCCCGGCUGCUCAGAAGACAUUUCUCUGUCUCCCCUGCUCUUCCCCAUCUUGAAUGUGGAUGUCCUGGCUGGGAACACAGCAGCCAACUCGUGAGUGUGGGUAACAAGCAGGGACAAAAGACCACCAGAGUCACAGAGACGCAGCUGCGGUGACACCGAGGCUGUUGGCCGGAGGUCAUCUCAGCUCCUAGCUGGGUAUUAGCUGGAGGCUGUCCUCAGUCCAGUGCCGUGGGCCUCCCCAGCUUGGCUGCGUGUGGCAGCAAAUCCAGCCAGGCGGUCCUCAGCAAGAGAGACAUCACAAUCUCACAGGUGAUCCACUCGGCUCUCUUCUCUUCUGCGUCCUGCUCUAUGGCCUGGGAAGCUGAUCUCCAAGGAUCGCAUUCCUAGGGCUCUCUGGCCCAUGGGCUUCCCGUUGGGUUUGCCCAAUGGACAGCCAUGGCAGAAGAUCAAAGGGAAGAUGGCAGGAAGCUGUCCCCCACUCCUCGCCUGGCUGAGUUCUGGCGAUGGCUGCCAUCCAGGGUCCUGAGUCCCACCAGUUUUUACCCCUUGAAGUGAGAAAGAACACGUCUACAACCCUCCCUCAUUCCAGAGGCUGUGUUUUUGCCCUUUGGUCAUGCAGAUGGGGCUAAAGCGAAGUUACAACAUUGGAAAAUGUCUUCUUAACGUCACACUGAUCUCCUUAAGGCAACGAGCCCCACAUGCUCUCUGAGGCCUGUGCACGUGUUCUGAGGACCCAGUUAUGUGCUGCGUGAUUCCAGAGGUGAACAGACCCUCACAGAUCACCUCUCCUCACCCUCUCAUGAGAGGGAAACUGAGGCUCAGGGGGAGAAUUGGCAAAGGUUACACUUGGUGGUGGGUUUGGAAUCUGCCCUGUGGACGCCCGACUAACCAUUUCUGCCAGAUGCGCGUGGGAAGUAAAAUGGGAAGAGGUGCUCCAUAGGAGGAGGGGACGUGGGUACAGUCACGUGGACCCGUGAGCCGGUCACCUGCGAGGCACCAGGGCCUACAGGAAAGGUGCCCGCUGUCGGCUUCCGCAGGGAAUUUCGUUAUCUUUGUGAGGUAGGGUGGAACUUGCAUCCUGAACAUUAAAGUUUACAUGCCAAGGAGGGCGGUGGAGUCCUUGGAACUUCCU
rnacentral:lncRNA from 1 species